AUUGAACGCUGGCGGCAUGCCUUACACAUGCAAGUCGAACGGUAACGGGCCUUCGGGUGCCGACGAGUGGCGAACGGGUGAGUAAUACAUCGGAACGUGCCCGAUCGUGGGGAAUAACGAGGCGAAAGCUUUGCUAAUACCGCAUACGAUCUACGGAUGAAAGCAGGGGACCGCAAGGCCUUGCGCGGACGGAGCGGCCGAUGGCAGAUUAGGUAGUUGGUGGGAUAAAAGCUUACCAAGCCGACGAUCUGUAGCUGGUCUGAGAGGAUGAUCAGCCACACUGGGACUGAGACACGGCCCAGACUCCUACGGGAGGCAGCAGUGGGGAAUUUUGGACAAUGGGCGCAAGCCUGAUCCAGCCAUGCCGCGUGCAGGAUGAAGGCCUUCGGGUUGUAAACUGCUUUUGUACGGAACGAAAAGCCUUCUUUUAAUACAGGAGGGUCAUGACGGUACCGUAAGAAUAAGCACCGGCUAACUACGUG
rnacentral:rRNA from 1 species